UCCGGGCUCUUCUGCGGUACGUCAUGAGCAAGGUAUUAACUUUACUCCCUUCCUCCCCGCUGAAAGUACUUUACAACCCGAAGGCCUUCUUCAUACACGCGGCAUGGCUGCAUCAGGCUUGCGCCCAUUGUGCAAUAUUCCCCACUGCUGCCUCCCGUAGGAGUAAGCACCUUCCCGGUGGGAAAUUGUUGACGGUGAAUUCAAAUUAAAUAAAAAGUGUUUUCUUUUCUUCGACCAUGCUGAUGGCAAAAAUGUCUUUAUGGAAAGUUUGCUCCAUACGCUCACCGCAAGAAAGCCGGACAAUUGCUCGGCUUUCCGGUAUUUAAAGAUGGGGGUCUGGCGGUUAUGAGGGUAGGGUUGGCGGUACGUCCCAUCGAAUUAUGAAGC
rnacentral:rRNA from 1 species